GACGAACGCUGGCGGCGUGCUUAACACAUGCAAGUCGAACGGAAAGGCCCUGCUUUUGUGGGGUGCUCGAGUGGCGAACGGGUGAGUAACACGUGAGUAACCUGCCCUUGACUUUGGGAUAACUUCAGGAAACUGGGGCUAAUACCGGAUAGGAGCUCCUGCUGCAUGGUGGGGGUUGGAAAGUUUCGGCGGUUGGGGAUGGACUCGCGGCUUAUCAGCUUGUUGGUGGGGUAGUGGCUUACCAAGGCUUUGACGGGUAGCCGGCCUGGGAGGGUGACCGGCCACCUUGCGACUGCGAUACGGCCCAGACUCCUACGGGAGGCAGCAGUGGGGAAUAUUGCACAAUGGGCGGAAGCCUGAUGCAGCAACGCCGCGUGCGGGAUGACGGCCUUCGGGUUGUAAACCGCUUUCGCCUGUGACGAAGCGUGAGUGACGGUAAUGGGUAAAGAAGCACCGGCUAACUACGUG
rnacentral:rRNA from 1 species